AGUGAACGCUGGCGGUAGGCCUAACACAUGCAAGUCGAACGGCAGCACAGUAAGAGCUUGCUCUUACGGGUGGCGAGUGGCGGACGGGUGAGGAAUACAUCGGCAUCUACUUUUUCGUGGGGGAUAACGUAGGGAAACUUACGCUAAUACCGCAUACGACCUACGGGUGAAAGCAGGAGAUCUUCGGACCUUGCGCGAUUGAAUGAGCCGAUGUCGGAUUAGCUAGUUGGCGGGGUAAAGGCCCACCAAGGCGACGAUCCGUAGCUGGUCUGAGAGGAUGAUCAGCCACACUGGAACUGAGACACGGUCCAGACUCCUACGGGAGGCAGCAGUGGGGAAUAUUGGACAAUGGGCGCAAGCCUGAUCCAGCCAUACCGCGUGAGUGAAGAAGGCCUUCGGGUUGUAAAGCCCUUUUGUUGGGAAAGAAAAGCAGCAGAUUAAUACCCCGCUGUUCUGACGGUACCCAAAGAGUAAGCCCCGGCUAACUUCGUG
rnacentral:rRNA from 1 species